rnacentral:rRNA from 1 species
UACAGAGGGUGCGAGCGUUGUUCGGAAUUAUUGGGCGUAAAGGGCGCGUAGGCGGUGCCACAAGUCACUUGUGAAAUCCCCGGGCUUAACUCGGGGCCUGCAGGCGAAACUGUGGUGCUGGAGUAUGGGAGAGGUGCGUGGAAUUCCCGGUGUAGCGGUGAAAUGCGUAGAUAUCAUUUGGAACGCCAAUGGUGAAAACAGCUCGCUGGGGGUUUGCUGACGCUGAGACACGAAAGCCAGGGGAGCAAACGGG